rnacentral:rRNA from 1 species
ACUCUCGGCAACGGAUAUCUCGGCUCUCGCAUCGAUGAAGAACGUAGCGAAAUGCGAUACUUGGUGUGAAUUGCAGAAUCCCGUGAACCAUCGAGUCUUUGAACGCAAGUUGCGCCCGAAGCCUUCUGGCUGAGGGCACGCCUGCCUGGGCGUCACGCAUC